rnacentral:rRNA from 1 species
GACGAACGCUGGCGGCGUGCUUAACACAUGCAAGUCGAACGGAAAGGCCCUCACUUCUUUGGCUGGGGUGUUCGAGUGGCCAACGGGUGAGGAACACGUUGGUGAUCUGCCCUUUACUGCGGGAUAAGCUAGGGAAACUGAGUCUAAUACCGGAUAGGACCAUGGGUUAGAGUCACAUGGUGGACAAAUUAUUGUUGUGGUGCAGGAUGGGCUCGCGGCUUAUUAGCUGGCUGGUGGAGUAAUGGCCUACCAAGGCGUCGGCGGGUAGCCGGCCUGAGUGGUUGGCCACACGGGUUCUGAGACACGGUCGACACUCAUACGGAAGGGAGGAGGCGGGAAGAUUGGACGAUGGACGGAAGCAUGCCCGAUGCAGCGAGGCUGGGUGGAGAAGGACGUCCGUCGGGUAAUAACCUCUUUUCGUUAAGAACGGCGCCGCACUUUUAUUGCGUGGUGUUGCCGUUACCUAGUGAAGAAGCACCGGCUAACUACGUG